AACUCCACUCUUUUCACUGUACCAUGCUGAAUCCAGAAGGAGGACACUGAGGCAGGCCUAGACAGGUAGCACGAUGUAGUGGAGAGGGCUCUGAGUUUGCACUCAGGAAAACCCCCUUUUAAAUCCUGCCCAAGAUACUGGCUGCUUGACUCUGGCCAUGGAGAUGCCAAGCCUUGGUGAAGACAGAAAGUCGGACAGAGUGCAAGCAUUCUUGGUCACAUUGCUGGAUCCCAGAUUGACAGUGGAUUUCCUAACCGUGCUGCCUUGCUCCUGGAGCGGCUUCAUUUUACUUGGAAGCCCCAUUGAAAUGUGAGCCGUGAGGACAUCUCUGGGCUGCCCUGGCUCUGCCAGGAGGAGGAGAAGCCAUCAUCGAAUAGGUCAAGCCCUCGAUGUGGAGGCAGAAGAUCCGAGUUGAAUGCCCAGCUCCGUCUGUUAUCUACAGAAUACAAGAGCUUAGGCUCGUGGUUUGGCAGCGAAAAGGAACUCAAGCAAAUCUUGGGAUUGUAGCUCCACAGCCUCAUCCUAGACAUAAGGAAACUGAGGCCUAGGGAGGGGAAAUAAUUUGCCCCAGAUCACAGGGAGGAAGUGGCAGAGCCUGGAU